AUUGAACGCUGGCGGCAUGCCUAACACAUGCAAGUCGAGCGGAGUGGCGGACGGGUGAGUAAUGCCUCGGAACCUGCCCUGUAGCGGGGGAUAACUUCCCGAAAGGGUCGCUAAUACCGCAUACUAUUAGAUGAGCCUAGGUCGGAUGAGCUAGUUGGUGGGGUAAAGGCUUACCUAGGCGACGAUCCGUAGCUGGUCUGAGAGGAUGAUCAGCCACACUGGAACUGAGACACGGUCCAGACUCCUACGGGAGGCAGCAGUGGGGAAUAUUGGACAAUGGGCGAAAGCCUGAUGCAGCCAUGCCGCGUGUGUGAAGAAGGUCUUCGGAUUGUAAAGCACUUUAAGCUGGGAGGCGUUACCAACAGAAUAAGCACCGGCUAACUACGUGCCAGCAGCCGCGGUAAUUC
rnacentral:rRNA from 1 species